rnacentral:rRNA from 1 species
UACGGGGGGAGCAAGCGUUGUUCGGAAUUACUGGGCGUAAAGAGCUUGUAGGGGGUUUGUCGCGUUGUUCGUGAAAUCUCACGGCUCAACUGUGAGCGUGCGGGCGAUACGGGCAGACUAGAGUACUGCAGGGGAGACUGGAAUUCCUGGUGUAGCGGUGGAAUGCGCAGAUAUCAGGAGGAACACCGGUGGCGAAGGCGGGUCUCUGGGCAGUAACUGACGCUGAGAAGCGAAAGCGUGGGGAGCGAACAGG